GUAAAAGCUUCAUGUAAAGGAAUGCACACACUGAUAUGUGCCUUGAGGACAAGCACUUGUUUGGUCACUAAACUCUCAAAGCUACUGAAACUGCUGCUAAGGACUAGUGGAAGUCAACUGAGCUUAUCAUCAACUCCCUGAACGCUGAUCAUCAACAGUGAAGGAUAAAACCAAAAGUAACAGGAGUUAAUGUGUUAGAAGAAGUGGCCUUAAUUCACCCUUGUUGGUUCAAGUGACUGCAAACAGUGACUGAGGGUGUCACCACACUGCAAAGAAGCGACACGUAUGCUCUGCACAUAUCACUGAACGUGCCCUCAGCACCGCAGAGGAACGAGGUUUUCUGGAAGAUCUUCACCACCACCCUGUGGCCACAGCGAAAUAUUGCAAGAAUUGAGCUGCCCUGGCUUGAACCUGGGACAUCGUGUCCACCGCGCUCAGAGGAAAAGGACCAUGUGCAGCAAUUCGCUGCUCUAGUCGACUGAACUUCUAUAGCCAAAUUAAGCUCGCUGUUUUGCUAACUGAGAAGAAGAAACGAGAGCCACAAUGAAUAAUUCUUUCCUCUUUACCCAUUAAGCAGCAUCUGAAAUUUUCUAAGUCUUCUUAGCCUCAGCCUCCUUUCUCAUUUAAAAGUUUGAGUCAUUAAAAAACUGCUCAUCCUGCCAGUUAGAACUAACAUCAUUCAUUACUUACCUAGAUCUUGACGGACUCUGCAGUUAGUCUGGUUUGAUGCAUUUUAACAGACAGCCAAGAAAACUGCUGUAGAAACAGCCUUAAAAACCAAAGUUUCAUUGAGCUGCUUUUUAGUGUCUUGUCUCAUCACAGAAUAAUGAUUUGAAAAUAAUUACAUGGGAGCAAGAGUUCAUCAUUUGCUCUUAAAAAACAUUUCAUCUGGAAGGUGGGAGAUGCAGGGGUUUUUAGAUUGAUUCCUGUGCUAAUUACCUUUGUUAGGAGAUUGAAUAUGACAGCAGUGACUAUGAUGGUUAAUUAGAUAUACCUGACCUUAUUGACAGAGCAAUUUGUAGACACUUUUUCAGUAAUUCAGUAUUUCUAAAUCUGGGUGUGCUUAUAGGAAAGGGGCCAUGGUGCACCUGGGGCUUCUCCUUUCCCCUUAAGCAGUUUCAGCUUUCCUGAAAAAAAAUCCCUGGGAGAAACAGUUGAUAAAUCCUACAUCACCUUGUGUUUGGAGAGAAAGACAGCCCUUGAAAUGUAGUGGUACUCCUUCCUCUGUCCUCUCAGCUCUGCUCUCCUGAACCUCACUGACAUGACUCCAGUGAUGUAGAUGGACACCUUCCAACCUCUGCUCAUCCACAGGGUGGUUUGACUGCCAUUGCAUGUGUCCCACUCUGAAUGCUUAAAACAUUAAAAUGACUCAGAUAAAUCUUGUCCAGGUGUCAAUCACACACACACACAUCUCCCAAUGCAGGCUGUUGAUGCAAUGUAGGCUGAAAUGAUGCAAUGUAAACAGAGGGAGGGAGAGAUGGAUGUGGGUCACCUGUCUGGUGCAACCUGCUGUAGCUGCCAGCAGAGACAUUUGGGGGUGCCACACGGAGUCUACAAAGGAGAUGUAGGUGGAAACACAUGUACACACACACACACACACGUGUCUGUUUUUUAAAAUCAGAGCCUAAAUACCUAACAGUGGCAGUACGUGAGUUCUCAGCCCAGGCACUGGACAAAUUCUGAUUGCAGUGAACUAAAAAGAGACUUAAGAUUAACAAAAAAAGUACUGCACUAACAGUUUAUAUGGUUUCACCACAUUCUCACAAUUACAUAUCCUCUAGAUAGUUAGAGUAACUAGAUUUUGUAAAGCAUUUAUUUGUGUAAGGAGUAUUUGUGUGCUUUCCUUACAAGCUACAUGGCAUGCUGUUUUUCACUGCUGAGUUUUUAAUUUCUCCUUUGAUUCUGGAACAUUCUGAAAAGGCCUGAGUCCUUGUCUCUGUUACCAAGCACAGGUCAUUAUGCAGCCUUUGGAAAAAACCUAAACAAACAACAACACAUCUAAGUCAAGCAAUGCUAAUUCUGUGAAAACUAAAAGCUCCAUCUGAUAAAUCAGCUCUCGAGGAACUUCAAAGCUGAUAGUACAGAACAAUCUACAGGAUUUAGCCUGACUGCCCAAGCAUGAAAUAAAAUGCACAAGUGAGCUCACCCUGGCCAGAUGAACUACAGGGUCCUUAGAAAGCCUAUUGAUUGCUACAUCCUGCUCCAGUGUUUGCUUGGGGUAUUGUUUUUAUGUUAUCCAAUCUACCUCACUAAGUGCUCAAACUGCCUUUCACUUUAAUGUUGGAGCACUCACCACACAUCCCACCUCAUCAGCAACUGCCUUGGGAGGCUGCUUGAGAAACUCUCAUCUUUGAGAUGAACCAAGAAAUAGGAAAGCCUGGAUGUUGGAAAGAGAG